CCGGGCACUGAGACAGGCAAUCGUCUCAAAUGGGAGGAUGCCUGCCCUCUACUGGCCACAGGCCGCUCUGGCCUCCAGCUGCCUCCCUUAACCUAAGAAGAAGGAAGAAGUAGAACAGAAGGCAGGGACAGGAGGACUUGUCCCAGAGGAUGAGGGCUAUAGAGGGAAGAAGGAGGAGGAAGGAAGUGUCCUGUGGAACUGGCAAACAGAGAAAGGCUUCCAGGCAGAAGAGGAAAAUGCAUGGAUUGUUUCAAGCAAGAUCACCUGCCUUUGGGGAAGGAAAGAGAUCUAUCAGCAUCAGCCUCAUGUGGGAGAUGCCAGUCAGACUUGCAGACUUUCAAGCCCCGUCCUAGAUCUACUUAACCAGAAUCAGCAGUUUCACAUGAUCCCCAGGUGAAUCUUAUGAACAUAAAAGUUGGAGAAGCACUGUCAUAGAAGAUGAUUUUCAGCCAAAGAUGAAUAGAAAAACUAGUGACUACGCCAGCAACAAAGUCAGUGGUUUUGUACUGAAUGCAUUUAAAUGUACAGCAGAGACAAAAACAACUGCAGGAUUUAUGGCUCCAGGACACAGAUUUAGAAAUAAUUUUAAAAACUGGCUUCAGAAGUGGUGGAAGAGAAUACAAAUAUGCUGACUUUCUCAUCUUUCCCAGCAGAAGAGUAAAUAGAUACUAGUCUAAGCUAAUAAGUAAUAAAGAUAUACUUAAGGGAAUAAGACAGGAUGGCAUAGCAAAAACAGUCAGUUAAGUAACUGAAUGCAUAGAAAAUGCUAAAUGCAAGGAUGCCCCCUACUUCCCCAACCCCAGCUCAGGGCCUGGUGGUGAUGGCAGCCACACCCCUCCCUCUAGGCAGGAGAUUGGAGGGCUUUUUCCUGGAAAAUCUGACCCCCAGCAAAUGGCUCACAUCAUCACCCACUGUGGAGCUCCCAUUACGUUUCCCUAGUCCCCAGUUGUUUUGUUUUUUAAAGAUUCUUACCCUUUUUUAAAGAUUUUAUUUAUUUAGUCAUGAGGGACACAGAGAAAGAGGCAGAGACAUAGGAAGAGGGGAAAGCAGGCUCCCUGCUAGGAGUCUGAUGCAGGAUUCUAUCCCAGGACCUCGGGAUCACGACCUGAGUUGAAGAUAGAUGCUCAACCACUGAGCCAUCCAGGCAUCCCUUAUAGCCUCCAGUUUUAAUCAUAAACAAUGAACAAGGAACCAGGAGUUGCCAGACAUCUGAGAAAAAUGUCUAACACAUUGAAGCAAAAGAGAAAAAAAAUCAAUGUGGAGGUAAUAGACACUAUAGGAAAUAGAUGCUAUUCAGGGAAAGAACAUUUUAUGUAUGUGUUAGAACUCUUCAAAUUAGGGGCAUCUGGGUAGCUCAGUUGGCUAAGUGUCUACCCAGAGUCCUGGGAUCGAGUCCCACAUCGGGCU